UGGGAAUGUAAGUCAACGGAUCAUUGCUAUAUUCAGUGUUCUGGCUGGAAUAAGCUUUAAUGUUCUGCCUUCACUGCAAUUCAUCCUCCUGUUUUAUGCCUUUGGAUCUGGUAGAGGAGGAUUCAUCAUUGUUGCAGUUUUACCAGUGUUUCUCACUGUGACAAGAUUCAAUUGGGACAUUAUAUGUGGUCAACAGAUGGGCUGUUCACCUUCGGUCAGGAGAUCAGUGUAUUUAACUCUCAUGUUAUUGGUCAAUGCUGUACUGGUCUAUUUCUACAUCAUCACUCUGGAAAAUGAAAAGGAUCGUGUGGGAUGGAUCUGUGUGAUUGCGUUUCUUCAGUUACUCUGGGCAGUGAUAAACUUCACAACCUCAUUUACACAUGGUACAGUAUCAAUCAUCUGAUCAUCUAUCAGCUCUAGUUUAUUCUCCUCAGUUCUUCUCUUUAUUCUCCUCUCUGUUCGUCUCUACACUGUAAAAAAUGAUCAUAAAGACUAAAAAUAUUGCAGUACAAACCUGUUAACAGUAAGUUCAUAAACGGUGAAAAACUGUUUCUUUUUCCUUGUCAGUUAUGUGCAUUAGGGUGUCAUGUCACAUGUAAUGUUAUUAACUGCAUUAUUUCAGUCAUCUUCAUUUAUAGAGCACCUUUCACAAUACAGAUUGUUUCAAAGCAGAUUCACAGUGACAAUUAAUGGACAGAGAUUAUUUUGGCUUCACAACAGAUCUAAGAAAAUACUAUUAUAGAGCUAAAGUCGUUUUUUGAUUGAAUCACUUCCGUUGUAAAUAUGGUUCAUUAUUACUUUAGGGGCUGCUUAAAUGACACAUUUCCUACUGAAAACUGAAUACCUUUAAUGCAUUCUUGCCAUGUAUUUACGUGUUCAGUCUAUAGGUUUGUGUGUUUGAGUGUGUGUGUGUGCAUGAGCUUGGUCUUUUUUACAAAAGUGAUAUUUGCCAAAUUACUUUACUGGUCCACAUAACAGAAAAAUUAGUUGUGUCUGCGGAUCUAUGUGAACUGGAAUAAUUUUGAUAAUGUUUUAUCUAUACAUAGGGAAAGGAAAGGGAAGGAGGCCUUCGCAGGGGAUAGAUUAAAUUAAAUGUCAGGGCUGUGUUAUCAACAGCAGGUCCUUCAUCUCAUCCGGAUACGGCCCAGAUCCGGUUGACUACAGUGAACCUCGGGAUAAACAGAAAGACUAAUAUUAGUGUAGAUGCC